rnacentral:lncRNA from 10 species
GUUUUAUAAGGGGCUUUUCCCCACCUUCGCUCUGCACUUCUCCUUGCUGCCACCACGUGAAGAAGGAUGUGUUUGCUUCCCCUUCCUUCAUGAUUGUAAAUUUCCUGAGGUCUCCCCAGCCCUGCAGAACUAGGCAUCUAGGAUUAAAGCAGAGACCCUCUUUAUUGCUUGAAGGAUUCUGUUUUGGGACUCAUCAUUGCCCUGAUGGCUGGCUGCAUCCGGAACACAGAGGAAGAAAGAGUUGCCUUCAAGGACAUGCCAUUUCCAGGAAAAGAGCAAGAAUGUAAAAAAUAAAGAGGUUGAAAUGAGUUUAUGAAGUUACUAAGAACAUUACAAGUGGAAUGAACUCCCUGGAGAUGUGACUCUCAGGAGGGCAGAGCCCUUUGUUCACUUGCCCUAUGGACAGCAUAUUGUACAUCAGUGCUUCCAAAAGGGUGCCUAGACAUACCAGGGGUCCCCAAGACCUUUUAGGGGUACAUGACAUCAAAUAUAUUUUAAUAAUAGUGCCAGGAUGUUAUUUGCCUUUUAAAUUUCCAUUCUUUCACAAGUGUACAGUGGAGUUUUCCAGAAGCUACUCCAAGUAUGGUAUUAUAGCAGAGCAAAUGAAGAAGUAGAUGUGAGAAAUCAGCUGUCUUAAGCCAGAUAGUAGAGAUUUUCAGAAAUGUAAAACAAUGUCAUGUUAAUUUUCUAAAUGUGGGUGUUUUUUGGUUUAGGAAAAUAGUUACUUUUUAUAAAAAUAUAUUAAUUAUGUUAUAAUUAAUUGCUUUAUUGUGAUAAUGUUUAAAUAAAUAUAUUUUAAAUUCC